GCAUGUGGCUUAGUGGUGGAGCAUUUGCCUAGCAUGCGUGAGACCCUGGGUUCAGUCCCCAGCAUUGCA
rnacentral:tRNA from 1 species